rnacentral:pre_miRNA from 1 species
UGAUCAAAAGCAAAACCUUUGUGAAUCGGAUUGUUCUUCAGUUAAGAACAUUCUGAUUCACAAAGGUUUUGCUUCUUAUCACA